UUUUGACCUCGGAUCAGGUAGGGAUACCCGCUGAACUUAAGCAUAUCAUA
rnacentral:rRNA from 5 species